rnacentral:rRNA from 1 species
GGGGAUAACUGUCUCACCCAAGUUAUAUAAAAAUUACUUAGUGAGUGAAAAGUCUCAUAUAUUGAAGAAAGACGAGAAGACCCUAGAAAUUUUUUAUAAGUAUGUUAAAUAUAAUCUAUUUUGUUGGGGCGACAUAGUAACAGUUAACUUACUAUAUAAUAUGCUAUUUAUAAAUUGAAAGAAUAAAUUACUCUAGGGAUAACAGCAUUAUUCGUUUAUGAGUUUGUGACCUCGAUGUUGGACUA